GGAGUGUUGUUUCUUUGCGUGUACAAAGGCAACGCGGCCUGUGGCUCUGCCGCCGUUCUGACCGAGACGCAGAACCAGAGGUCGUUUUCGUUCUCGUUUCAUCCUCUUCGAGCUCAGCCUCAGCUGCUGGAAUACUAGAAUAGCGCCGCCUCAACAUCUUCUACCUGCUGCCGUUUCGUUCGCGACUUUGGUUUAGAUGCGUGCAGCUUUUCGUCGCACCGCGCUGGAUCACUGCUCGCUGUUCAUUCGCCAGUGAUUCGUCAGGAGUACUCUACUACCUUUCUUUGUUCGGCACGCGAGGGAGGAAGAAAACCGACUGAACCUUUCCUAUCUCAGUCUCAGCACCCUCUCAAACCAACCGACCCCGUCCCAAUCUCCUGGCGGCGGCGCAGCGGCAUCGGCAACCGGGCGAGGAGACUAGCGGCGGUGAGCGGCCGGUAGCGCCGCGACGAUGAGGUCAACACCCCGGGCGGCCGCCUCCCCACCACCGGGAGAAGGAGAUGAAGGGGAAACAGAUCCCCUUUUCCUCGCCCCUCGCCGGUGCUGGCCACUAUCACGCAUCCCGCCUCCGCAUCGUCACCCACCAUUUCAAAAUCGUGUCAUCGAGCCGGGAAAUCGCCAGUUGGGUCCGGCGUAACCCGUCUACGGUGGUCAUCUGUGAGAAGGACGACAUGCGCCCCUAGAUGUGCCUCGGCCGCAACAUGGAGGCUGACCUGCUGAUGCUUCUCUCCUCCAGUGCCGGGGACGACGGGCUGCCGCUGCACGCCAGUGAGUAGGGAGCCCAAUGCGACGGUGACGGCGAGGAUGGGUGGCUCUGGGUUCACGAGAGCGCCCGACAGGGCUGAUGCGGCGGCAUCUUUGUGUUCCAUGUAAGUGCUAGGAGGCUUGGUUAAUUUCUUGCUUGGUGGUGCUUCGAUCUGACGAUUCACAAGGACCCCGUAAGUGUGGUAUCUUUCUCCUGCCUCUCCUUUGUCCUCCUUAAUUUGUUUGUGCAAUGAAUGUUUUAUCUCGACAGUGAUGAUUUGUUUGUACAAUCCAUGCUUUAGUCUUAAAAAUGAUUAGAUGGAAUGAUUGUGGUUAUUUAUUUUUCCUUCGAGGCAUUAGGUUUUGUAUAAGCUAUGAAUGUAUAAAAAUUCAGAAUCUAUACGAAGAUUGGUACAAAAAUAUUCAGGUGAUAUCAUUCUAUACAUAUGUGCAUCUAUGGUGAUCAUUUGUUCUUCCGUUGUGUUCUUCUCAUUCGGUACUCUUAACUUUAAUUUUUUUGGUUGGUUCUCCAGACAUGAGUGCAGAUCUGCGGAGGUUUAGAAGAGGAAGAAGCUAUGGUAGAAAAUUUAUUAAGAAGCUGCCAAAGGUUUCAUAUCAGCCUCUUGCUUUUCGUAAUAAACCAGAGUAAAUAUCUUUCUUGAAUCAUGUUGUGGUGUAUCCAUUCCCAUCAGUUUGUGUACAUAUACCCAUUGUUAGUCUUUUGUAGUUCACAUGUUCAGUUUUCAUUUUAUAUUGCAGUUGAAAAAACCCAUCUGAUCGUGGAUCAUUUGCUAUAUCAGCAAUCUAGGCGAGCCCAAAAUCAACCCUAUGCAUAGACACAUGAUAUAUUUACUUAAUCUGCCUGUUUAUUUACUAAGAGUUGUUUGAACAUUGUGUGACUAGAUUUGUUGGCUACACAUUCUUUGUUUGGAAACUCUGCAUUUCAUAACCUACCCUUACAACAUGAGCUGUACGAACCUUCACAGUGGGUAUUACUAGAAUUGGCCAUGAAGCAUUCUCUUGACAAGGACAAGAGUUGUUCUUGAGGGACACACGGCUGGCCUAGAAGAUGGACCUUCAUGUAUGCCCCAUCUAAAUCGCAUCUCUAAUUUAUAGUACCACACAACAGCUGUAAGCAAACAACCCUCGUGAGCUAGCCAAUCUUCAGAUGUAUUACCUAUCUAAUGCUUUGUAUAAAAUCUUGAGAUAUUAAAGUGAGUUAACUACUACUUCCUUAAUAACAAUUACAGUUGACUGUUCACAGUUCUGAUUUAUGCUCCAACUUAUGUUGGAAGGCACCCAAAUAUUAGGAGCCAAAAUGGAGCAAUUAUCUUGGACAUACUGGAAAUUCUUGGAGUCCAGCUGUCAUAUUGAAAGGUUGCUAUCCCAUCAAGAUCUGCUUUCUUCUUCUGCCCCUGAUGGUUCUCGGGGUGCUGUUGUUGCACUACUUAAUUUUUCCAUGGAAGCUUAGUAUGAAUUGGGUGUUAAAUUGAGAUUUCCUCUUCGUGGGUUAAUAUCUUUUUCCUGAAGUUCAGUUAUGUACUUGGGCAGAACUGCCACAUAAUACCUACUCUACAGUAGCACAAAAGUGUUGGAGAGUUGGUUCUUGCUAUUCAGUACCAUGUUUUAACACACCACUUUUUCCAUGGAGGCUACUAUGCAUUGGGUGUUGAAUUCCAUGCAGCCAAAGGUCAGUGUUUAAUAUAUUUUCUCUUUGUGUCUUUCAGUCUACAAUUUCUUUAUCUUAUUGUGGAUGAAAGGCAGGUUCGCAAAGUUGAAUUAAAUAUAGUCAUGGUCAUGCUGCUAGAUUGUAGAAUUUUAUUUGAGACUUUUGCGUUUUGUGUUUGGUCCUGUAGUGUUAGAUGUUCAUGAUAUAUACAGUAGAUGGGCCAAAUUAUGUUAAACCUUUAUGAUUACUAGGACUUUCUUUUCUCUCUAUAUUUUUCGACAUGCAUGCGAUGCAUUUCUUGAAGGAUUAUUCGUGUGAUAUUGUGGGUUUGCUCAGCUAUCUUCUCUUCUUUACAUAUUUCGGGCUAAUCCUAUGGUACAAUAGCAUGGAAGUGUUGCAAUGUAAAUAUGUUCAUUUGUUUGUAUUGUGUUUCAAGACGUGAAGCCUUACCUAUAUGGAGGGAUUUUCACAUCACGGUGCAUAUUUCUUAUAGAAUCCGUGGGCAAUAUUUGAAAGAACCCAUAACUAUUUGGAAUGCAUAUUAGAACUUGAUGAGCUCAAGCUACCUACAUAGUACUGCAAUAUUGCUGAUAGCCUCUCACUUUCGUUUAGUUACUGCAGUACUGAGGUUGUACCUAAAGCCGGUCUAUAAUCUGGAUUGCGCCACCUUCUGCUCUAUUAUAUUGCAAUAAACGUUUGUUGCCCUUUUUUCUGUCUAUGAUAUGAUUUUGUAUCUACAGCUUUUAUAUGUAAAGGUUAAAUUGUUUCGGCCUGCUAAAAAUUUCAUUUACACUGUUUUCUCCAGGUCUGUUCAUCAAUCUCAUGGCAUGAGCUCUUUAAUUGCUUCUUCGUAUCUGCCAUUGGAGUAACAUAGGUCAACAUACAUAAAUAGUGUGUUCCGUACAGUUUUAUGUGGAGCCUUCCUGUUGUUGUAUAUAUAAUACAUUCUCUGUGUUUUACUACCUGAGGAUUCUCUUCAUGUUGUUCCUUUGGUUGCUCUACACAAUUAUAUGUUAUUGAUCACAACAGUUAUGGCUUCUAUGUUGGAUUUAUGUGAAUUAUGUGUAGUCUAACUCACUUCAGAUAUAUAAAAGUCCUGUUUGUAUC